AAGCGUUUGAAGUCAGUCGCGUCUGUCGGGAUUCAGCCUGGCUUCUGCCUGGUGUACUUCCCGGCCGACGGGUCAGCAUCAGUUUCGACCGAGAGAAAAAGGCUUGGGGAAUGUGGCUGUCUUCGGGCAGUGUUAUAGCCUCUUGUCGUAUGUCUCGGUCGGG
rnacentral:rRNA from 1 species